rfam:Hordeum vulgare subsp. vulgare, WGS project CAJW01000000 data, contig: morex_contig_53273
UUAAUACUCCCUUCGACCCAAAAUUCUUGUCUUAGAUUUGACUAGAUAUGAAUGUAUCUAGUCACGUUUUAAUAUUUAGAAACAUUAAUUUCUAAAUAAACUUAAGACAAGAAUUUUGAGACAAAAGGAGUACAAA